CUAUCCCUAAUUUUCUCCCACUACCAUCUCCACGUUCUAGGUGAUUCUAUAACCGACUUCUCUUCUAUUUAAACCCCAGUUCAGUUUCUUUUAUCAGUAAUCUUUUUGUUCCAUCGUUUUUUGGGUUGCUCCUCUCCUCUGUAAUAGUCUAUGUUCCAUGGUUUUUCGGGUUUUGCUCCUCUAAACAACAUCUACGAUUUCGGUAUUGAAAAAAUUGCCAAAGAUUUCGCAAGUUUGGCUCAGUUUGUUCAUCGUCGUUUUACAUGCGGAUUUAUAGGUUCAUAUUUAAAAUUCAAGUCUCCAAAUAUGUCACUUGAUACUACACAUAUUUCCCAAAUAAGUCUGGAAGCAGAACCCAUGUGAAGUCAACAUUGAAUUGUCCUUACAAUUCUCAUUUUUCAUUGCAAAGAGAAAAAAUAGUUCAGUGGAGAAAAUAAAACACAGUGGUGAACGGAAAACAGUCGCAGGAGGUGACGUUGAUGAAGAUUAACUGAUCGCUGUUAAUUCCAGCGACUCAUGUAAUGCCGUUGCGACCCAUCUGCUACCUUCUGCGACUCAUCUAAAACUAUUAUUUUCACGCUCUCUUGUCAUUUAAUUUUGUUGCUACUCUUCACGACACGUUGUUUUACUCAGUCGCUGCUGCUAUCGCAGCGUUUAGUAAAAGAACAUGGCCUAUUUCUUCUACUAUUAAAAAUAGAUUGUUGGCAUGGGAGACUUAAAGUGGCGACUGUUUGUUCAUCUCGAAAGUAGAUGUUGACAGAAGUAACGAAUCAGGAGAUGACUUCUUAAAGACCAUUAACUCCAACGAAUAGCAUGGUAUGCACUUGCAGAUCAUUAGUGCAACCCAAAAUAUUUUCGAAAAAUUGCAAAUAUGAAGACAAUCCUAUUUACAAGGACCUCUUAAUGUUUUACAAACAACCA